AAACAUACUUACAAUCCCAUGAUCAUGAAGGUGGUUUUCCCAGGGUGAGGCUUUUCCAUUGAACUUCGGACGUGCUGACCCCUGUGAUUUCCCCAAACGUGGGAAACUCCACUGCAUGAUCUGUGGAAGUGGGGGACUGCGAGCGCGCUCUCCCCUG
ensembl:snRNA U1 U1 spliceosomal RNA